GACGAACGCUGGCGGCGUGCUUAACACAUGCAAGUCGAACGGAGUGGCGAACGGGUGAGUAACACGUGGGUGAUCUGCUUUGCACUUCGGGAUAAGCUUGGGAAACUGGGUCUAAUACCGGAUAUUGCAAGAUGAGCUCGCGGCCUAGCAGCUUGUUGGGGGGGUAAUGGCCUACCAAGGCGUCGACGGGUAGCCGGCCUGGGAGGGUGUACGGCCACAGUGGGACUAAGAUACGGCCCAGACUCCUACGGGGGGCAGCGGUGGGAAGUCUUGCACAAUGGGCGGGAGCCUGAUGCAGCGGCGCUGCGUGGGGGAUGAAGGCCUUCGGGUUGUAAACUCCUUUCGGCAGGGACGCGGUACCUGUAUAAGAAGCACCGGCUAACUACGUGCCAGCAGCCGCGGUAAUUC
rnacentral:rRNA from 1 species